CUCGGAUAUUUUAUACCCUUGAGAAAGUUAUAGUGUUUCUGGCAGGCUAGCGCCGGGAAUACAUUAGCGUGGAAAUGGUGUAAUAGGACUUUUACCUCUUCUGUUGGUUCUGAGGGGUUCAAGUAAAUGAUUAAAUAGGGAUAGUUGGGGGAUUUAUUACUUAACUGUCAGAGGUGAAAUUCUCGGGAUUUGUUAAAGACUAACUUAUGCUAAAAGCAUUUGGCAAGGAUGUUUUCAUUAAUCAAGAACGAAAGUUAGGGGAUCGAAGAUGAUUAGAUACCAUCCUAGUCUCAACCAUAAACGAUGCCCACUAGGGAUUGGCGGGUGUUACUUUGAUGACCCCGCCAGCACCUUAUGAGAAAUCAAAAUUUUUGGGUUCUGGGAGGAGUAUGGUCGCAAGGCUGAAACUUAAAGGAAUUGACGGAAGGGCACCACCCGGCGUGGAGCCUGUGGCUUAAUUUGACUCAACACGGGAAAACUUACCAGGUCCAGACAUAGCUAGGAUUGACAGAUUGACAGCUCUUUCUUGAUUCUAUGGGUGGUGGUGCAUGGCCGUUCUUAGUUGGUGGGUUGCCUUGUCAGGUUGAUUCCGGUAACGAACGACACCUCAGCCUGCUAAAUAGUCACGUCCGCCCUUGGCGGUCGGCAGACUUCUUAGAGGGACUAUUGGCGUCUAGCCAUUGGAAGCAUGAGGCAAUAACAGGUCUGUGAUGCCUUUAGAUGUUAUGGGCCGCACACGCGCUACACUGACGCGAUCAGCGAGCCUAUCCUUGGCCGAGAGGUCCGAGUAAUCUUGCAAACCGCGUCGUGAUGGGGAUAGAUUAUUGCAAUUAUUAAUAUUCAACGAGGAAUUCCUAGUAAGCGUGAGUCAUCAGCUCGCGUUGAAUACGUCCCUGCCCUUUGUACACACCGCCCGUCGCUCCUACCGAUUGAAUGAUCCGGUGAAAUCUUCGGACUGCGGGUGAGGCGGUUCACCGUCGAUGCUGCGGGAAGCUGAUUAUACG
rnacentral:rRNA from 1 species